rnacentral:rRNA from 1 species
UACGAAGGGGGCUAGCGUUGCUCGGAAUCACUGGGCGUAAAGCGCACGUAGGCGGCUUUCUAAGUCAGGGGUGAAAUCCUGGAGCUCAACUCCAGAACUGCCUUUGAUACUGGAGAGCUUGAGUCCGGAAGAGGUGAGUGGAACUCCGAGUGUAGAGGUGAAAUUCGUAGAUAUUCGGAAGAACACCAGUGGCGAAGGCGGCUCACUGGACUGGUAUUGACGCUGAUGCGCGAAAGCCAGGGAGCAAACGGGG